rnacentral:rRNA from 1 species
UACGUAGGUGGCAAGCGUUAUCCGGAUUUACUGGGUGUAAAGGGCGUGUAGGCGGGACUGCAAGUCAGAUGUGAAAACCACGGGCUCAACCUGUGGCCUGCAUUUGAAACUGUAGUUCUUGAGUACUGGAGAGGCAGACGGAAUUCCUAGUGUAGCGGUGAAAUGCGUAGAUAUUAGGAGGAACACCAGUGGCGAAGGCGGUCUGCUGGACAGCAACUGACGCUGAGGCUCGAAAGUGUGGGGAGCAAACAGG